rnacentral:lncRNA from 1 species
UACAAAGGCUAAAGUAUCAUAAGUAUCAUGAGAAGAGGAAUGAUACAAUGGAGAAAGCUGAUCUUGAAUUUCAAAAGUCCAUACACAUACUGGAUAAAGAAAUUGAGAGAAGAAUGUCACUUGUCCAAAGUUACAAGCUCGAUGAGAAUGAGACCUGCUGACACAUCACCAAUAUAUAGAAAAAUUGAAAAAAAAAGCAAACAAAACAGACAUCAACAGGAAGGAAAUGUCAAGUUGCCGAAAAAAGUCAUUCAAAAACUGAAUUCCAUAUGAUUGAAUGGUAGCUGGUUUUGAGUAAAACUUCUCUUUAAAAGGAAAAAAGAAAAGAGAAACUCACAUGAACAUUUUAGCCUUCCUCAG